CGCAAGAGACCGCGGGGGUGGAAAAGGCCGCUCGGUCGAGAUUGCGCGCGGUUUGACUCUUUUCACCAACAAUAAUCUGGUGCCCAACAUUGGGCCUCAGAGAAGACUCAGGACCCUGAAGGAGUUGCCCAAAACUGGAGCUAAGGUACCAGCAGGAGCCCAUUGAAGCCUCACCGAAUUCGAGCUUCUCCUUCGGUGGAACUGGAUAAAAUGAGAAGAUAGCAAUCUGCAAACCAAGAAGCAGACCCUCAUCAGACAUUGGCACCUUGAUUUUGGACUUCCCAGCCUCCAGAACUAAUGCAACAGCGAGACAGCCGUCUAC
rnacentral:lncRNA from 1 species